rnacentral:rRNA from 1 species
CCCAGACAGCCAGGAUGUUGGCUUAGAAGCAGCCAUCAUUUAAAGAAAGCGUAAUAGCUCACUGGUCGAGUCGGCCUGCGCGGAAGAUGUAACGGGGCUAAACCAUGCACCGAAGCUGCGGCAGCGACGCUGAUGCGUUGUUGGGUAGGGGAGCGUUCUGUAAGCCCGUGAAGGUGGCCUGUGAGGGUUGCUGGAGGUAUCAGAAGUGCGAAUGCUGACAUAAGUAACGAUAAAGCGGGUGAAAAGCCCGCUCGCCGGAAGACCAAGGGUUCCUGUCCAACGUUAAUCGGGGCAGGGUGAGUCGACCCCUAAGGCGAGGCCGAAAGGCGUAGUCGAUGGGAAACGGGUUAAUAUUCCCGUACUUGGUGUUACUGCGAAGGGGGGACGGAGAAGGCUAUGUUGGCCGGGCGACGGUUGUCCCGGUUUAAGCGUGUAGGUGUGUGUUCCAGGUAAAUCCGGUUCACUUUAACACUGAGGCGUGACGACGAGGCACUACGGUGCUGAAGCAACAAAUGCCCUGCUUCCAGGAAAAGCCUCUAAGCAUCAGGUAACACGAAAUCGUACCCCAAACCGACACAGGUGGUCAGGUAGAGAAUACCAAGGCGCUUGAGAGAACUCGGGUGAAGGAACUAGGCAAAAUGGUGCCGUAACUUCGGGAGAAGGCACGCUGACACGUAGGUGAAGUGAUUUACUCAUGGAGCUGAAGUCAGUCGAAGAUACCAGCUGGCUGCAACUGUUUAUUAAAAACACAGCACUGUGCAAACACGAAAGUGGACGUAUACGGUGUGACGCCUGCCCGGUGCCGGAAGGUUAAUUGAUGGGGUCAGCGUAAGCGAAGCUCCUGAUCGAAGCCCCGGUAAACGGCGGCCGUAACUAUAACGGUCCUAAGGUAGCGAAAUUCCUUGUCGGGUAAGUUCCGACCUGCACGAAUGGCGUAAUGAUGGCCAGGCUGUCUCC